rnacentral:RNase_P_RNA from 1 species
AUCAGUGACUGAUCUAUCGCCUCAUUAAAUGGGGAGGAAAGUCCGGGCAGCACAUAGCAUCCUGCUUCCUAACGGGAAGGCAUGCAGCCGAUUGGCAGCAUGACAGCAAGUGCCACAGAGAAUUACCGCCACGGGUGCAAAUCCGCGGCAAGGGUGAAAACGUGAGGUAAGAGCUCACGGGCUUGCAUUGCGAGAUGCAGGCAGGGUAAACCUCAGGAGCUGAAAGACCAAAUAAGCCGCGCCCAGCGCAAGCAAAGAACGGCUCGUUCGAAUUCCCGAAAGGUGAAUGACGCGGCGGGUAGGUCGAUAGAGGUGAAGCGUGAGUUUCAUCCCAGAUAAAUGAUAGAUGUUCCGGUGCCUCACCGGAUUACAGAACCCGGCUUACAAGUCAUUGAUGUAC